AGAGUUUGAUCCUGGCUCAGGAUGAACGCUGGCGGCGUGCCUAAUACAUGCAAGUCGAGCGAACGGACGAGAAGCUUGCUUCUCUGAUGUUAGCGGCGGACGGGUGAGUAACACGUGGAUAACCUACCUAUAAGACUGGGAUAACUUCGGGAAACCGGAGCUAAUACCGGAUAAUAUUUUGAACCGCAUGGUUCAAAAGUAAAAGACGGUCUUGCUGUCACUUAUAGAUGGAUCCGCGCUGCAUUAGCUAGUUGGUAAGGUAACGGCUUACCAAGGCAACGAUGCAUAGCCGACCUGAGAGGGUGAUCGGCCACACUGGAACUGAGACACGGUCCAGACUCCUACGGGAGGCAGCAGUAGGGAAUCUUCCGCAAUGGGCGAAAGCCUGACGGAGCAACGCCGCGUGAGUGAUGAAGGUCUUCGGAUCGUAAAACUCUGUUAUUAGGGAAGAACAUAUGUGUAAGUAACUGUGCACAUCUUGACGGUACCUAAUCAGAAAGCCACGGCUAACUACGUGCCAGCAGCCGCGGUAAUACGUAGGUGGCAAGCGUUAUCCGGAAUUAUUGGGCGUAAAGCGCGCGUAGGCGGUUUUUUAAGUCUGAUGUGAAAGCCCACGGCUCAACCGUGGAGGGUCAUUGGAAACUGGAAAACUUGAGUGCAGAAGAGGAAAGUGGAAUUCCAUGUGUAGCGGUGAAAUGCGCAGAGAUAUGGAGGAACACCAGUGGCGAAGGCGACUUUCUGGUCUGUAACUGACGCUGAUGUGCGAAAGCGUGGGGAUCAAACAGGAUUAGAUACCCUGGUAGUCCACGCCGUAAACGAUGAGUGCUAAGUGUUAGGGGGUUUCCGCCCCUUAGUGCUGCAGCUAACGCAUUAAGCACUCCGCCUGGGGAGUACGACCGCAAGGUUGAAACUCAAAGGAAUUGACGGGGACCCGCACAAGCGGUGGAGCAUGUGGUUUAAUUCGAAGCAACGCGAAGAACCUUACCAAAUCUUGACAUCCUUUGACAACUCUAGAGAUAGAGCCUUCCUCUUCGGGAGACAAAGUGACAGGUGGUGCAUGGUUGUCGUCAGCUCGUGUCGUGAGAUGUUGGGUUAAGUCCCGCAACGAGCGCAACCCUUAAGCUUAGUUGCC
rnacentral:rRNA from 1 species